AGAGUUUGAUCAUGGCUCAGGACGAACGCUAGCGGCGGGCUUAACACAUGCAAGUCGUUCGAGAAGCCCAUUCUUCGGAAAGGGUGGAAAGAGGCGAACGGGUGAGUAACGCGUAGGCAAUCUGCCCUUCAGUGGGGAAUAACAUUCCGAAAGGAGUGCUAAUACCGCAUGAUAUUGCCGAGUCACCUGGCUUGGUAAUCAAAGGCUUCGGCCGCUGAAGGAUGAGCCUGCGUCCCAUUAGCUUGUUGGUAGGGUAACGGCCUACCAAGGCAACGAUGGGUAGCUGGUCUGAGAGGAUGAUCAGCCACACUGGGACUGAGAUGCGGCCCAGACUCCUACGGGAGGCAGCAGUGAGGAAUAUUGCACAAUGGGCGAAAGCCUGAUGCAGCCACGCCGCGUGUGGGAUGAAGCUCUUGCGAGUGUAAACCACCGUUAACGGGGACGAAUGCCUUGGUUUUGCCAGGGAGAGACGGUACCUGUAGCGAAAGCUCCCGGCUAACUCCCGUGCCAGCAGCCCGCGGUAAUACGGGGGGAGCNGCGUUGUCCGGAAUCACUGGGCGUAAAGAGCGUGUAGGCGGAUUUGAAAGUCCGGGGUGAAAUGUCGAGGCUUAACUUCGAACGUGCCUUGGAAACUUCAAGUCUUGAGUGCGGUAGGGGGAAUCGGAAUUCCAGGUGUAGCGGUGGAAUGCGUAGAUAUCUGGAAGAACACCGGUGGCGAAGGCGGAUUCCUGGCCCGUAACUGACGCUGAGACGGAAAGCGUGGGUAGCAAACAGGAUUAGAUACCCUAGUAGUCC
rnacentral:rRNA from 1 species